rnacentral:rRNA from 1 species
GACAGCAGCCGCCACGGUAAUACGAAGGGUGCCAGCGUUACUCGGAAUUACUGGGCGUAAAGCGUGCGUAGGUGGUGGUUUAAGUCCGUUGUGAAAGCCCUGGGCUCAACCUGGGAAUUGCAGUGGAUACUGGGUCACUAGAGUGUGGUAGAGGAUAGUGGAAUUUCCGGUGUAGCAGUGAAAUGCGUAGAGAUCGGAAGGAACAUCUGUAGCGAAGGCGACUAUCUGGGCCAACACUGACACUGAGGCACGAAAGCGUGGGGAGCAAACAGGAUUAGAUACCCGCGUAGUCCCUGUCUCUUAUCA